GUGUGUUUUCUAAAUGAAGGGUGUCCGACAGGGGGAAUAUGUCUUUUUCCUUGAAAGGGGGAGAAUACCUUUCCCACAGGGGGAGAACUUUCUUUUAGAGGGCAAGUCUUUAACUACUUCCUAUGUGCUUGUAUAUGUCUUCCUUUUCGUUAUUUGAUUCCAAAUGGGCGAGGGAAUUUUAUAGACCAAAGCAAACCAUAGUUAUCAAAUACCAAAAACCACCAAGUUUAUUUUUUUUAUUCUUUCAUGUGGUUAUCUAUGUUGGUUUCAGUCCAAAAUAUGAAGUAUGUGGAUUAUGGAGAUAGGGGGGCUUAAGUCCACAAUCACACAUUAGGGGACUAAUUGCAUAUGCAAAAAUGUGCUUGAUUUCUAAAUGAACUCAUAGCUGUCAAUUUGGUACGUCAUACAUCUUGCUUAUAUGCAUCCAUAGCAAGUAGAGUGCAUAUUUCAAUUUGG
rnacentral:lncRNA from 7 species